rnacentral:snRNA from 1 species
GGAUGUGAGGGUGAUCUGGCUGCGACAUCUGUUGCCCUAUUGAUUGCUAGGGUUGAUUUGGCUGAUCUGGCUGGCUAGGUAGGUGUCCCCUUUCUCCCUCACUGCUCCAUGUGCAUCCCUCCCAAAGCUGUGUGCUGGGUUGAAGAGGACGACCUUCUCUGAUAAAGGAGAGGACCAUUCUUUGGUCAAGGUAUAGGAGUAGUUACGCUCCCCUGCUAGAACCUCCAAACAAGCUCUCAAGAAAUCCUGGACUUGACUUUUAAGGAGACUCAUGAAGCUAGGAAGGCAAGGCAAAGACUUACCAUCUGGCAUUGUCUAGGAUACCUAUAGAU